CCCUCGUGCGCUCGGAGGGGCCGGGCUUUCCACUCGCCCCGUUUCCUAACUGGGAAGGGGAAGUGGGGGGCAAGGAAUUCCGAGCCUCCUGCCAGAAGCAGUCUUAGGACGCAAGCAAACCCCCCAAACACUCACCGAGCCUUGGCAGGUCCGGCAGCCGAAGCCCAGGACGCAACCCAGCCCUGACAUUUCCCCCCCGUCGGUGCCAGCAGGUCUUCGGGAGCCAGUUUUCCUUUCCUCCUCGUCAGGUAGGACUGUGGAUGAGUGAACGAGACCGCGCAUCUUCGGAGAGCUAAGGUUGAAAAAGUUUACAGUUCCUGAGUCGUCCCGUGCUCAUUCUUCCAACCAGUCAGCCAAGAGAAAAGGCCAAGAUGAAAGGCAGAAAAGGUCCACUCCCUAUGCCGAAGGGUACCAAGAGCCAGAAUACCACGUUUUGGCAGAGCUGAGUGAUUCACUUUACCUGCUAUUUACGUACAGCCUUUGCCUACAGUAAGCGCUCAAAGACCUUCGACCAACCGCAGCCUACUUGUAACGCUGCGCACCUCAAGCAGCUCGCUGUAGACCUUUUCGGUGGAUGGAUGAUUAUGGAAGCAUACUGAGCUGAAAACCAUUACCGUUGAGACACCACUCCCUUAAGGACAAAGGUGGAAACCGCCUUUGAAGUGGGAGUAGCAGUAUCCAAGGAGAGGGGAGAGGACUGUUCUAAUCUGGCUGGGGAAGAGACAGGCUCGGAAGUAUGAGCAGGCCACCGUCCUAGCCCAAAAGGAAAGAACGCGGCCAACAAGAAACUGCGGCUACAUACCAGGAUGCAUUAUUUCCGGAAACGAGAACAGAAGCUGAAAGUGACACUGGAUAGCUACGGUUGCUGAAUAUAGCCAGUUCAGUGGUUAGUAACCUUACAGGGACAGCUGGAGGGUCCACUACCUGUUUUUCUUAAUGUUGUAACUGGUGGUCGUUAAGUCAAGCUAUCCCUUUCUUACUGAUAACUGUGCAAAUUCAUGCCCCAAAAGAUCUGAAUAUCUCGACUGUGAAAAGUCCGUCCCUCCUGCUUCAACUAAAUAAAUUCUGCACUCUUCCCAACUGGAUCGAAUUUGAUGACUUACCUGGUAACGUUGUUGCUGGGUUCAGUGGUGGCACUGGUGGGAUGGAUUGGGUCACUUGUGAUGGCAAUAAUGGAACUGUUGGGACACCUAAUAAAAACAGAAAUGGGACAGAUUACCACGGGGCCACUGCUUCUUGGUUUCCCUGAAAUUAUGACAGGUGAAAAACUGGGUCUCAUGACCCUACA